rnacentral:rRNA from 1 species
AUUGAACGCUGGCGGCAGGCUUAACACAUGCAAGUCGAGCGAGCGGCGGACGGGUGAGCAAUGUCUGGGAAACUGCCUGAUGGAGGGGGAUAACUACUGGAAACGGUAGCUAAUUCCGCAUACCAUCAGAUGUGCCCAGAUGGGAUUAGCUAGGAGGUGGGGUAAUGGCGAACAUAGGUGACGAUCUAUAGCUGGUCUGAGAGGAUGACCAGCCACACUGGAACGGAGACACGGUCCAGACUCCGACGGGAGGCAGCAGUGGGGAAUAUUGCACAAUGGGCGCAAGCCUGAUGCAGCCAUGCCGCGUGUGUGAAGAAGGUCUUCGGGUUGUAAAGCACUUUCAGCGAGGAGGCGUUACUCACAGAAGAAGCACCGGCUAACUCCGUGCCAGCAGCCGCGGUAAUAC